UGAAUUGACGGGGCCGCACAAGCGGUGGAGCAUGUGGUUAAUUCGAUGAUACGCGAAGACCUUACCGGGUUGACAUGCAGGUGAUCGCCGUUGAAAGACGGUUCCUCUUCGGAGGCACCUGCACAGGUGCUGCAUGGCUGUCGUCAGCUCGUGUCGUGAGAUGUUGGGUUAAGUCCCGCAACGAGCGCAACCCUUAUCCCCAGUUGCCAUCAGGUAAAGCUGGGAACUCUGGGGAGACUGCCGGUGAUAAACCGGAGGAAGGCGGGGAUGACGUCAAGUCCUCAUGGCCCUUACAUCCCGGGCUACACACGUGCUACAAUGGCAGGUACAGAGGGCUGCGAAGCCGCGAGGUGGAGCGAAUCCCAGAAAACCUGUCUCAGUCCGGAUUGAAGUCUGCAACUCGACUUCAUGAAGGCGGAAUCGCUAGUAACCGCGAAUCAGCAGGUCCGCGGUCGAAUACGUUCCCGGGCCUU
rnacentral:rRNA from 1 species